CCUUGGUGCUCUGGUAUAACUGGAUACAUAGAGAACUGGGGGUGGUUUAUUAACUAAAAAGAAAUUAACAAAUUAACCUGCUUUGAUCCAAAAAGAGGGGAUUAAGUUAUUGGUAGACACACCAACAGACUGGACAUUUUUGGUAGAUACCUACAUUCACUAAAAUUCCUGGAAUUUUUGAAAAUAGCAGAACUAGCUUUUCUUUUUCCAUUGAAAUCCAGUGUUUGGUGGCUUUGAGGAAGCACUGCCAUCCAGGCAUGUGAAUUCAGAAGCCAUUUUACUCAGAGAGAAUAAGCAGUGCUUUUUCAGUUGUUGCUUCACCAUAUUACUCGUGGCAACACUUGGAGAAGACAAAACAGGAGAGAAAGAUUCUCUUUAAAAAUACAUCCUCAGAUUAUUCUGUGUAUUCUGUUUCACAGAUUUUAAAGAUGUAUUUGCAGCAGAGAUGACCUUAUUUAAAAUAGAUCCAGAUUUCACAUAUGACAAAUGCAAGUGGUUUGGACCUGAGGGGUUUCAGUGCCAAAUAAAGGUAAUGCACAAGUAUGAAUGUUUGCUAUUUCCCACUGUGGAAAGAAGAUGACUACAUUUGCAGUGCUGGAGGUUCAGAUGGGAAUGGCAGAGAACGUAUGAUAUGAAGAAGCAAAGAUGUAUUAUCAAUGUUAUUUUGCAAAAAAAAAGCAUGCAAAUCAAGGAAAAGUAAAGAUGAGAUAUUCUGAGAAGGCUUGAAAUUAGCAGAGUUGAAAUUAAAUUAAUCCCUUUGAACCAACGAGCUUUCUGCCUUCCAAAUUUGCUCCUAUCUAUCUCUGGUUCUGUACUGUGACAAUGGAGAAUUUCAGUGACCUCUGUUGCACCUAAAGGAUAUGCAACUCUGGAAAAGUAUGUAUGGACUUGUUAAGACUCAGCAGUAUGCUUGCUUUGCCUGGAUAAAACUACUCCAGGGUUACAGGGAAGGAAGAAGGGGUUA